AUACGGAGGGUGCAAGCGUUACUCGGAAUCACUGGGCGUAAAGCGCGCGCAGGCGGCUUGAUAAGUUGGAUGUGAAAGCCUACGGCUCAACCGUAGAACUGCAUCCAAAACUGUCAAGCUAGAGUCUGGGAGGGGAAGAUGGAAUUAGUUGUGUAGGGGUAAAAUCCGUAGAGAUAACUAGGAAUACCAAAAGCGAAGGCAAUCUUCUGGAACAUUACUGACGCUGAGGCGCGAAAGCGUGGGGAGCAAACAGGAUUAGAUACCCGGGUAGUCC
rnacentral:rRNA from 1 species